GAUGAACGCUGGCGGCGUGCUUAACACAUGCAAGUCGAACGAAGCACUUUAACCUGAUUCUUCGGAUGAAGGUUUUUGUGACUGAGUGGCGGACGGGUGAGUAACGCGUGGGUAACCUGCCUCAUACAGGGGGAUAACAGUUAGAAAUGACUGCUAAUACCGCAUAAGACCACAGAGCCGCAUGGCUCGGUGGGAAAAACUCCGGUGGUAUGAGAUGGACCCGCGUCUGAUUAGGUAGUUGGUGGGGUAACGGCCUACCAAGCCAACGAUCAGUAGCCGACCUGAGAGGGUGACCGGCCACAUUGGGACUGAGACACGGCCCAAACUCCUACGGGAGGCAGCAGUGAGGAAUAUUGCACAAUGGGGGAAACCCUGAUGCAGCGACGCCGCGUGAGCGAAGAAGUAUUUCGGUAUGUAAAGCUCUAUCAGCAGGGAAGAAAAUGACGGUACCUGACUAAGAAGCACCGGCUAAAUACGUGCCAGCAGCCGCGGUAAUACGUAUGGUGCAAGCGUUAUCCGGAUUUACUGGGUGUAAAGGGAGCGUAGACGGCUGUGUAAGUCUGAAGUGAAAGCCCGGGGCUCAACCCCGGGACUGCUUUGGAAACUAUGCAGCUAGAGUGUCGGAGAGGUAAGUGGAAUUCCCAGUGUAGCGGUGAAAUGCGUAGAUAUUGGGAGGAACACCAGUGGCGAAGGCGGCUUACUGGACGAUGA
rnacentral:rRNA from 1 species